GAGUUUGAUCGUGGCUCAGAUUGAACGCUGGCGGCGUGCUUAACACAUGCAAGUCGAUCGGUAACGCGGGGGCAACCCUGGCGACGAGAGGCGGACGGGUGAGGAACGCUUGGGAAUCUGCCCUUCAGCGGGGGACAACCCGGGGAAACUCGGGCUAAUACCGCAUACGCUCCACGGAGGAAAGCCGGGGACCGCAAGGCCUGGCACUGAAGGAUGAGCCCAAGCCGGAUUAGCUAGUUGGCGGGGUAACGGCCCACCAAGGCGACGAUCCGUAGCUGGUCUGAGAGGACGAUCAGCCACACCGGAACUGAGACACGGUCCGGACUCCUACGGGAGGCAGCAGUGGGGAAUAUUGGACAAUGGGGGAAACCCUGAUCCAGCGACGCCGCGUGGGUGAAGAAGGCCUGCGGGUUGUAAAGCCCUUUCGGUAGGGACGAAAGCUCUUGCCUUAACACGGCAGGAGGUUGACUUAACCUACAUAAGAAGCACCGGCCAACUCUGUGCCAGCAGCCGCCGUAAC
rnacentral:rRNA from 1 species